rnacentral:lncRNA from 1 species
AAUGGCCAUUCUAUGAGUGAUCAAUAGCCAUCCAAUGAGAUGGGAUAGUGGAAUCAUAGCAUACACAUGCCAUUGCCUUUGAUUUUGGUCACAUAGUUGUGGAGUCUAUUGGCUAUAGCAAUGGUAGUGAUGGUGAUUAUAGUGGAGUUGGAUGUUAAGGUAACUCAUUUUCCUCAAGAUGAUAAGGAUUAUCACAUUUACCAGUUUAUGCAAUGAAGAGUACUUAACUUCUAAGUGGGUGAGCUUGAUUACCAAAUCCAGUGUUGCGGCACCAGAUCUAGUGCCACCGCUGCCGCCAGAUCCAGUGCUGCCGAGUGCUGCUGUGCCAUAUCCAGUGCCACAACAACUGCUGUGCUGGAUCUAGUGCCACAGCAGCUACUGUGCCAGAUCCAGUGCUGCUGUGAGUGCCCUAGAUCCAGUGCCACUACACCAGAUCAAUUGCCACCACACUAGAUCCAAUGCCAGAAAACUCUCUGCUCACGUGGUUUGUCAAUUCUCACACUUAGUUUUUUUUUUUUUUUUGCAGUUCAGGAUUCAAUAAGGGGAGGAGGAGCAUCAGGCCAAGGCCUUCUUCAACUCUUCUUACAAACAGGGAGGAAAUGAAAAGGUGAGCACAAACAACUUCAUUGAAGCCCUAUGAUGCUCCACUACUCUUAUAAACCCCACCAAUGGAUCUAGAGUUCGAACUUUGAGCCUUUGGUAGAGGACAUGAGGAUGUUUUCCAGGAGCAUCAGGCCAUGGUAGUGGAUGAAAACGAGGUAUAACAUGUAUGACCUCAACUUCAAUCCAGAUAAGCACAAAAAUAUUGUCUUAGUUCCUUUAGUUUUCUGAAUACCAUAUUUAAACAAGAGUCUUUAGACCUAUUUUAC